GGCUAGCUCAGUUGGUGAGAGCCUGGUGCUGAUAACGUCAAGGUUGCAGGUUCGAUCCCCAGAUGGGAUAGCU